rnacentral:rRNA from 1 species
AUUGAACGCUGGCGGCAUGCUUUACACAUGCAAGUCGAACGGUAACAGGCCGCAAGGUGCUGACGAGUGGCGAACGGGUGAGUAAUGCAUCGGAACGUGCCCAGUCGUGGGGGAUAACUACUCGAAAGAGUAGCUAAUACCGCAUACGAUCUAUGGAUGAAAGCGGGGGACCGUAAGGCCUCGCGCGAUUGGAGCGGCCGAUGUCAGAUUAGGUAGUUGGUGGGGUAAAGGCUCACCAAGCCAACGAUCUGUAGCUGGUCUGAGAGGACGACCAGCCACACUGGGACUGAGACACGGCCCAGACUCCUACGGGAGGCAGCAGUGGGGAAUUUUGGACAAUGGGCGCAAGCCUGAUCCAGCAAUGCCGCGUGCAGGGAGAAGGCCUUCGGGUUGUAAACUGCUUUUGUACGGAACGAAACGGCUCUGGUUAAUACCCGGGGCUAAUGACGGUACCGUAAGAAUAAGCACCGGCUAACUACGUG